rfam:Desulfotomaculum sp. 46_80 MPI_scaffold_249, whole genome shotgun sequence.
AAAUGCGGUUGAAACAAGAUUUGCCGUGAGAAGUCAGCAGAAACCAUAGUAGUAACGCAGUCGACGGCGUUAUGAAGGGU